rnacentral:rRNA from 1 species
GAUGAACGCUGGCGGCGUGCCUAAUACAUGCAAGUCGAGCGAACAGACGAGGAGCUUGCUCCUCUGACGUUAGCGGCGGACGGGUGAGUAACACGUGGAUAACCUACCUAUAAGACUGGGAUAACUUCGGGAAACCGGAGCUAAUACCGGAUAAUAUAUUGAACCGCAUGGUUCAAUAGUGAAAGACGGUUUUGCUGUCACUUAUAGAUGGAUCCGCGCCGCAUUAGCUAGUUGGUAAGGUAACGGCUUACCAAGGCGACGAUGCGUAGCCGACCUGAGAGGGUGAUCGGCCACACUGGAGCGGAGACACGGUCCAGACGACUGCGGGAGGCAGCAGUAGGGAAUCUUCCGCAAUGGGCGAAAGCCUGACGGAGCAACGCCGCGUGAGUGAUGAAGGUCUUCGGAUCGUAAAACUCUGUUAUUAGGGAAGAACAAAUGUGUAAGUAACUAUGCACGUCUUGACGGUACCUAAUCAGAAAGCCACGGCUAACUACGUG